rnacentral:ncRNA from 2 species
GAUCACGAGUUCCAACGCGAAGCCCUGGCUGGUUGGACGGCAACCCUCUUCGUGGUGGGGUGCCCCAGGUGAAGAUCCGGCCGGGCACAACCGUGCGCCGGCAAGUACCGAGC